GGCCUUCCAGUUCACCUCUCCGUCCUCCUCAGCAGCGUCCCGAAUCUAGUGACACACACCGGUCAGGAAACAUCAACAGAAGAGGCACAGGAAAGCAUCCCUCUUACAAAAGAGACUGAUAUUCCUCAAACAAAUCCCCUUUUUAAAAUGGCAAGGGCAUGUCAGCAGUUGAGGGAGGUGAUCCUGUCCCUCUGCUCAGCCCGGGUGAGUGCUGCAUCCAAAUCUGAGCUUCCCGGGACAAGAGAGACGUGGAGCUCCUGGAGCGGGCCCCGUAGGUGCGACAGAGGGGAUUGAGGCACUGGAACAUCUCUCUCACCAGGAAGAGCUGGAGGAGGUAGGGCUACUCAGUCUUGAGACGAGGCGACUGAGAGGAGAACCUCAGGAAUGUCUGUAAAUAUCUAAUGGGUUGGUGCCAAGAAGAUGGACAUGGGGUCCUCUCUGUGGUGCCAAGCAAUAAGAUGAGAGCCAGCAAGUAGAAAAACUGCACCUGAGUAUGAGGAAGAACUUCUUUGCCGUGUGGGUGAUCACAAACAGGAGCAGUUUGCCCAGAGAGGUUGUUGGGUCUCCCUCGGUGAAGAUACUCAAGAAGCAUCUGGAUGCAAUCCUGUGCCAUGGAUUGCAUAACCCUGCUUGAGCAGGGGGAUUGGACCAAAUGACCUGCUGUGAUUCCUUCUGACCUUAGUCAUUUUGUGAUGCUGUGAUCUUGUGAAAAAAAAGACCUGUGGAACUACAAGCUAAUCAGUCACCUCUGUGCCUGGUGAAAUCCCCAUGGAAACUAUGGUACCUCACUACUGGGAAGUCUUCUGAAGUGAAGUUGUGCCUUUUCCUAUAAUUGAAGACUUCAGAAUAAACACACAUCUCUUGUGAGAUGUUUGCUGGUGGCCUGGCCUGCUAAAGAUAACAAAACAUGUCAAAGAAAAGAAAAAAACUCUUUUUUUAUACCUCAGAAUCUGUUGCUGAAGGACAUUCUGAUAAGUUGUGUGAUAAGCUAAGUGAUGCUGUUCUAGAUGCUCAUCUCAGAAUUGGUCCAGAUGCCAAGGUUGCCUAUGGUCACAAUGAAAUACAAGGAAUGUAGUGGUGCACUGGAGCCCAUCCUAGUGCAUACACUUGUGAUUUCAAUAAAUCAUGCAUGAACAUACUGCUACAACAAAUAGACAAUGGGCGGAUGGAUAAAGUUGUUUAAAAAGUCAUUCCAGAGAAGUAUCUUGAUGAGGAUACCAUUUAUCAUCUCCUUCCAAGGGACAAGUUUGUAGAAGGUGGUCCUAAGGCUGAUGCUGGACUGACUGGGCAUAAGAUCAUUUCUGAUAGCUGGGGAGCCCAUGGUGGAGGUGGAUUCUCUGAAAAGAUCCCUCCAAAGCUGAUCAUUCUGUAGCAUAUGCAGCUCACUGGAUUGCAAAAUCUCUGGUGAAAGCUGGUCUCUGAAGAAGAGUAUUAAUCCAGGGAGCUAUAUUUGAAGAGGCCAAUUUAUGAAAAAACAGCAUGCUAUGGGCACUUUGGAAGAGAAGAAUUUACAUGGGAAAUACUCAAAAAACCUUGUGUUUAAGCUUUUCAAAAUGUUUCAUGUUAUUGACAUGCAUUUUAAUAAUCAGGUAAAAUUCCAAGCAGUCAAAGAAAAGACUAUAUCUACCUUUUUUAAAAUGGCAUUCUGUAGUCAAUAGAUACUCUAAAAAUUACUUGUGUUUGAUUUCUAACUUUCACGGUCUCCUUACAGUUUUAAUGCAUGCAGCUCUAUCUAGGAUAGUAUUCAGCUUUGAUUGGGUAACAUAUGAAUAAUUUAGGCCUUUGACAUGAUCAGACAUUAAAAUGGUUGUGGAUAUUGAUGCCAUUCCUAUACUGCCUGAGAAAUCUGCUAUUGUGUGCCCAAUUAAGUUUGUAGUGGAUGAAGCUGGUGAGGUAACUUUAGGAGCUCCCUGUGAGAGGAGAGCAGAAAUAGCACAAAUUGCUGUAAUUAUUUCACCCAGAACUUCCACAACUUGAGUUAAGGUUCUUCAGUUAUGUAACACAUUAGAAGAUAUAACCCUUUCUGAACAUUGGUCAUUGUAGCCCUACAUAUACCUAGCUCUUAGGUAGUGCUAUUAGUUUGCUUUGAACCCUAUGAUUUUGUAAUUGUAUCUGUGAAAAUUGAUGAAAUCCUACAUUGUAAUUUUUUGAUUUAUUUAUAGUCAUUCUUUCAAACUUGAAUUUUCCAUGUCUGCAUGGAUUGGUUGUAUAAAUUUUCAAUUAAGUUUAUUUUGGCCACUUCUGAAAUGUAGUAAAAUGUAAAAAAAUACUUGGAGGACAUGACUUUCCUCUUACUUUCCUGACUGAAAGCAUAAAAUGCAAAAAGGGCAUUCAAAAUCAUUUAGCUUCUCUUCAAGAACUAGAGAGGAUGAAAAUGCUUGAAUAUCAAAAAUAGCAAUUCUGGCAAGCAAAUUUAUUAUUAAAUUGGUAACUAAGACACAACGUUGAAAUGCUGUAACUUCUGUUAUCCCUGGGAAUUUUAAUAAACAGCUAAGCAAUAUGGCUAGCUUGCCCCUUUUAACAGAAAGAUAAAGACUCCGGUGGUAAGUCUAAACAAGUGCAAGUAGCUAAUUAUAUCCUUUGUCUCAUGCAAGUUUUGAAAAGCUUCUUCCUUUCAUGCAAAGACUGAUCAAUCCACUGCUCCAUAGACAGACCAAAGCUGAAGUGAGGUCACUGUACAUCUGUCCCUACACCUUACCUGUCCUGGUACAGUUUACUUGAUUUAGCACAGGAAUGCUGCCGUCAGUCCUUGUGACCUCCUAUACCUGAGGCACAUUUUUCUUCCAUAAGAAAAGAAAACGAAUUUCUGCAAUUAUUUUGUGGGUAUUUUUUGCAGUUUUUUAUCUAAUGACAAAGUUUCCUUUUUAAUCACAGGACCCUGGACCCUAUCAUUGCCUGAAAAUAACCCAGUUUAGUUUGCAUAUGGCCAUGUAGGCAUAAAAUCUAUCAUUAACCUUUAUGAAAAUUUGUUCAAAUUGGUAUUGUCUCAGAAAUGGUAAUGUAUCUGGCUAAUUCUGAAAUGACAGAAUAACUUCCACUUUUAGUAAUGUGGGGGUACAAUGUUUAAAUGGCAAGGGAUUACCACACAGUAAAAUGACUAUAAUGACCUUUUGAAAGGAAGUUCAAUAAAUGGAUAUAUAGUGUCAAUUUUACAGCUAGUAUCAAUUUUACUGUCAUAAUACUUCACUCUUCCAAAGUGAAACAGUCAUGCUUUAGUUCUCACAGAAGAAGACCAUUUUGAUAAAGCCUUUUGUUAAAUUUAAUAAAGAAAUUAUUUGUUCAAAUGAGGUAUGUGUUAAUCCUGGUUUACCAUCAAACAAAGAAACAAACAAGUAAAGCAGCACCACCCAAAAAAGCCACAGCUUAUUUCAGACAGUAAGAACAUUUUCCUGAAACGCUUCUUUCACUGUGCUUUCUGGCUUCAAAGUUAAAUACCUUUUCUUCAAGAAAUUGGAUAGACUCCAACUCUUUCUUUCCCUUGAUUGGUGUUUCAAGGAAGUCAGGGGCACUAACUGUAGAGGAAAUCCCUAACUACAGACUAGAACAGGUGCACUGUACAUUCAAUCACCAGAGACCCUGUCCACAAGUUUCACCAGUUUUCUAAUAACCAGUAAAUUAAUUUUAUUUAUACAGGGUAGCUAAUUUUUCCUAUAUAAAAUUUUUCUAAAGAAGAGCAAAAAGAUAUAUGCCUUGUUUGAAGCCAGCAAACAGAGAAAAGAUACAUCUGCUAACUUUGUAGUGUCUAAUCCAAAGCUAGAGACAAAACUAUUGCUCCACAAAACCAGUGAAGUAACUUUUUAAAAAUCAUUGGCAUAUUUUCCUAUUAUCAGGCAAGAAUAACGUAAGCUAGAAACUCAGAUGUAAAGAAAGGGUUCCCAAAUCAAUAACAGCAGUUAUUGCUGAAAAUUUAGCAAAAUUAGAAUGUAGCAUACAUACAUAAAGAUCAAUUGAAACAUCCCUAUUUCCAAAUGCUUCAAAUACUGCUUUGUUAACCUGGUUAUUUUAAUAUCAAAUGAACAGACUCUUAUUUGAAAUAUAUGGCUAGGGUGCAUUAUAAAAAUCUCCUAAUAUAUAACAGGUGAUAAUCUGCAUAAGAAAAAGCCCAUACAUCAGAAGAACACAAUAGCUUAUGCCUUGUGUUUUGCAGCUAAAACAAAAAGAAACAUGAAUGAAAAAUUAGUGCUGCACAAAAUUACCUGGCUGUAACAUGGAAGUGCUACUGGCUGUUCACUUCCCAAAGCUGCUGAUUCUUGCUGGUUGUGGGAGGUAGAAUGAAGCCUAAAUAUUUCAAAAAAGAGUAGUUUCACUCAAACUUAGGCUAGCCAGUUGGGAAAGAAAAUGACUGAACAGAAUCGCUGUUGAGGUAGGCAUGACAUAUGAAUAGACACACAGAAGGCCA